GGGGCAUUACUUAAACAAGUAAUUUUUUAAAGUUACUUAUAUAAGUAAUUUUUGUUUUUGAAAAUAAAAAAAUUACUUAAUAGAGUUAUUUUAAAUUUCAAUAAAACAUAGACUAAAUGUAGUUUUGAUGAGUUUUUACAUAAUUUCAUAUCAUAAAGUUAAGAAUUCAUUAUAUUUGAGAGGAUUAUAGAGAUUAAGGGUUACUUUAAAAAUUAUGACAAAAUUAUUACUCGAAUAAGUUAUUUGAUACAUUUUUAAUAAAAUUAGUAUUAAAACUUAUUUAAGGAACAUAUGCACUUGGUUUUGGGUUACAAAUUAUAAAUAACUUCAAGUCUUAAUCAAUUCACAAGUAUCUAUCUAUUUAUAUCAGUCUACCUUCAAGAUUUUGGAGAAAAUGAGAAUUUAAUUGUCCCAAGAUACCAAUCUUUGACCAAGAAGCGUAGGUAUGAAAGAUAAGUGCGUCAAAAAGUUAAUUAGUGUUUCAGAAGGAUUAGAUUUAAUAUGUCAGGGGAAAAAUAACCAGAUGACUGUGAAAAAUUGUUAAACCUAGUAAAAUCUGUAUUAUUGGACACCUAUAAAAAUAAUAUUCAGAAAAGUUACUUAUAUAAGUAACAUUUAAAAUAGCCUCGUUUUCAACAUUACUUGAAUAGGUAAUUUUAAUUGUUACUUGUUUAAGUAAUGCCCCUGACUGAUGUAG
rnacentral:lncRNA from 1 species